GUUUGCCGAGCGACUUGGCAUGACAUUUUGACAGUGAUCAAUAGCAAAGAAAAAAAAAUAACACACACACACAAGCUCUCUCGCUCUGCUUGUGGUGGAGGCUUGAACCAAAAGUAGCCGGGCACGGCUCCGGAGCAGCUAUAAAAAUAGGCUGCUUCCCCCACCCCAUCCUGUUACGCUGGGAGAUGGAUCCCGGAGUCUCCUCUCCGCCGCUACGAGGAAGACCAGGAUCUAAAAGAGAAGAAGGAAGUUGUUGAAGAAACAGAAAAUGGCAGAGAUGCACCGGCCAACGGCAAUGCUAACGAGGAAAACGGGGAGCAGGAGGCCGACAACGAAGUAGACGAAGAGGAAGAGGAAGGUGGCGAGGAAGAGGACGAGGAGGAAGAGGGUGAUGGUGAGGAGGAGGACGGCGACGAAGACGACGAAGCUGAGGGAGCCACAGGCAAACGGGCAGCUGAGGACGACGAGGUAGGCAGAGCACCCCUUGUGUCCCGAGUGGGUUUUGGGGUGGAAUCAGUGGGGUCGGAGGCACCAGGCUGGGCUUUGGGACCCGGAUCCUGCCCGUGUGGUUCCCGCUGUGUGUGCCCCUGGGGGAUUCGGCCCAGUUCUUCAUGUACUGGCCUGGCUGUGAUCACCCUGGGUUUGGGAUCCCAGUGCUGUGGUGGGAUGGGACAGGGGUGCUCCGGCCCCAAAACCAGCUGCCAGAGGCUUCAUGCUGUGGGGAACACUUCUGCUGCAGGGACAAAGCAGAACAAGAGCAGAGGGACCCAAAAUCUCCUUUAUUUCUGCCCCUUUAUUCUGUUGUCCCCUCCCCUAACGGCUUUACCUUUCCCCUCAGGACGACGACGUCGAUCCCAAGAAGCAGAAAACCGACGAAGAUGACUAGGCAGCAAAUUAUUAUUAUUUUUUUUUUUAAAUAAGGAGGAAAACAAACCAACAAAAAAGGCCAGCGCGUCCUC
rnacentral:lncRNA from 1 species